GACGAACGCUGGCGGCGUGCCUAAUACAUGCAAGUCGAGCGCAGGAAAUCGACGGAACCCUUCGGGGGGAAGUCGAUGGAAUGAGCGGCGGACGGGUAAGUAACACGUAAAGAACCUGCCCUCAGGUCUGGGAUAACCACGAGAAAUCGGGGCUAAUACCGGAUGGGUCAUCGGACCGCAUGGUCCGAGGAUGAAAGGCGCUUCGGCGUCGCCUGGGGAUGGCUUUGCGGUGCAUUAGCUAGUUGGUGGGGUAAUGGCCCACCAAGGCGACGAUGCAUAGCCGACCUGAGAGGGUGAUCGGCCACACUGGGACUGAGACACGGCCCAGACUCCUACGGGAGGCAGCAGUAGGGAAUCUUCCACAAUGGACGAAAGUCUGAUGGAGCAACGCCGCGUGAACGAUGAAGGCCUUCGGGUCGUAAAGUUCUGUUGUAAGGGAAGAACAAGUGCCGCAGGCAAUGGCGGCACCUUGACGGUACCUUGCGAGAAAGCCACGGCUAACUACGUGCCAGCCGCCGCAGUAAGAC
rnacentral:rRNA from 1 species